rnacentral:rRNA from 1 species
GAUGAACGCUGGCGGCGUGCCUAAUACAUGCAAGUCGAGCGAAUGGAAUAAGAGCUUGCUCUUAUGAAGUUAGCGGCGGACGGGUGAGUAACACGUGGGUAACCUGCCCAUAAGACUGGGAUAACUCCGGGAAACCGGGGCUAAUACCGGAUAACAUUUUGAACCGCAUGGUUCGAAAUUGAAAGGCGGCUUCGGCUUUCACUUAUGGAUGGACCCGCGUCGCAUUAGCUAGUUGGUGAGGUAACGGCUCACCAAGGCAACGAUGCGUAGCCGACCUGAGAGGGUGAUCGGCCACACUGGGACUGAGACACGGCCCAGACUCCUACGGGAGGCAGCAGUAGGGAAUCUUCCGCAAUGGACGAGAGUCUGACGGAGCAACGCCGCGUGAGUGAUGAAGGCUUUCGGGUCGUAAAACUUUGUUGUUAGGGAAGAACAAGUGCUAGUUGAAUAAGCUGGCACCUUGACGGUACCUAACCAGAAAGCCACGGCUAACUACGUGCCAGCCGCCGCGGUAA